AUUGAACGCUGGCGGCAGGCCUAACACAUGCAAGUCGAACGGUAACAGGGAUCAGCUUGCUGAUUCGCUGACGAGUGGCGGACGGGUGAGUAAUGUCUGGGAAACUGCCUGAUGGAGGGGGAUAACUACUGGAGACGGUAGCUAAUACCGCAUAACGUCGCAAGACCAAAGAGGGGGACCUUCGGGCCUCUUGCCAUCGGAUGUGCCCAGAUGGGAUUAGCUAGUAGGUGGGGUAACGGCUCACCUAGGCGACGAUCCCUAGCUGGUCUGAGAGGAUGACCAGCCACACUGGAACUGAGACACGGUCCAGACUCCUACGGGAGGCAGCAGUGGGGAAUAUUGCACAAUGGGCGCAAGCCUGAUGCAGCCAUGCCGCGUGUAUGAAGAAGGCCUUCGGGUUGUAAAGUACUUUCAGCGGGGAGGAAGGGAGUAAAGUUAAUACCUUUGCUCAUUGACGUUACCCGCAGAAGAAGCACCGGCUAACUCCGUG
rnacentral:rRNA from 1 species